GACGAACGCUGGCGGCGUGCCUAAUACAUGCAAGUAGAACGCACAGUUUAUACCGUAGCUUGCUACACCAUAGACUGUGAGUUGCGAACGGGUGAGAAACGCGUAGGUAACCUGCCUGGUAGCGGGGGAUAACUCUUGGAAACGAUAGCUAAUACCGCAUAAUAUUAAUUAUUGCAUGCUAAUUAAUUGAAAGGUGCAAUUGCACCACUACCAGAUGGACCUGCGUUGUAUUAGCUAGUAGGUGAGGUAACGGGUAACCUAGGCGACGAUACAUAGCCGACCUGAGAGAGUGAUGAGCCACGCUGGGAAUGAGCCACGGCCCAGACUCCUACGGGAGGCAGCAGUAGGGAAUCUUCGGCAAUGGACGCAAGUCUGACCGAGCAACGCCGCGUGAGUGAAGAAGGUUUUCGGAUCGUAAAGCUCUGUUGUAAGAGAAGAACGGGUGUGAGAGUGGAAAGUUCACACUGUGACGGUAUCUUAGCAGAAAGGGACGGCUAACUACGUG
rnacentral:rRNA from 1 species